AUCUAACUGAAGAGUUCCAAAUAGGAUGAAAAGUGGGUCCUUGAU
rfam:Schistosoma mansoni strain Puerto Rico chromosome 6, complete genome